ACUGGCUAUUUGUAUAAGCAUUGUAGGCUGCUAUGUCACAUGUGUGUCAUUGGGUGGCAGAGAGAACAGAGGCCUAAGCCCAGUGUUCUGACCUAUGAACAUCUAUGAUUAGUAGCCUAUGAUU
rnacentral:snoRNA from 1 species